UUUUUACUUGAGUCAUUCAUAAUACGUAAUUACAUACUCUUCUUCCUCCAAAAAAAAAAAAAAACAAAACAGAAGGCCAAGUGCAGAACUUCAGAGUAAUCAAUCAACCCGUCGUCGUCGUCUUCAGCUGUCGCCGCUGUGCCACCACAUCUCCUCCCAGCUCUCGUACGGUUGUGCUAGUCCAGUUGCUGCUGAAAUCUAAUUCUGCAAGCUCCUUUAUAGAUGAUUAUGCUCCGUGCCUAGAGACACGUGAACAAGAAGGCCAGAUUGCGGAUAAUAGCAGUGAUAUCUGGGUGUGCUUAUGCUCUAGGUGCUAGAGUAUUGUUAGUGAGUUGCUUAUACUAUUAAAUUUGUUAUGUGGCUUUCUACUAAUAUCAUCUCUUUUUUUUUUACAUCUUCUUAUUGACAAUAUCAGCAGGCCGCACCAAAUGUGACUCAUUUGUUACUUAAAUUUGAUCUAGAUACCCUGAUUGAGCUUACAUACUUACAACCAAGAUUUAAUUAUAGGUACGAUGACUUUAGGUUUAUGUGAAUUCAUUGUAUUGAUUGUUUUGUUCUUACAAGUUUUCUCAUCUCUAUACUGAUUUGUGAUACAGAGUUGCUUAAUUAUGGUUAUUCUUGAUAUGUUGAAUAAACUUUUGAAGCCGGGCGUAAAUGCAUUGCUUCAUGAGUGUUUGGGUACAAAAAUGGUCAUACCCAUUUUAGUCUUGGGUAAUUUUACCCAUAUAAGCCCAAAGGGCAUAAAAAGGUCUAAAAGGUCCCAAACAAGUAAAAUGCAUCAAUAUGGCCUUCAACGGCCCACAUAUGUACUUCUAAGGGUUCACUAACACCCACUAUGUACUCCUAUAUAUACCCCUCAAGGGGCCAAAGGUAAAGAAGGUCACUCUUAUCAUCUAAGAUGACCAUACUUCUUCACUCUCUCCCCUUAACUCCUCUCAAUAUAUGCAUUGUUUGGCUACUAACUUUGGCGUCGGAGGCUCCACCCCGGGAUCCACCCCCAGGGCUCGGGGUUCAUUUUGCAGGUUCUUAGGCACCCCAUCGAGGCCCGGUUAGCUCAUUUUUUGCUGAAACAAUGAGUAUGAAUUUCAGGGAGAAUAUAUAUGGAAAAACUUGAGGAAUAUAAGAACAAAGAAAUUGAGAUAAGCUCCAACAAAGUCUACUUAGAGGUUGUAUGUGGGCAAAAGAAAGGAAAAGUUUACGGUUUAGGGAACGCUUCAUAAAUGUACUUCAAGAACGAUUUGUGGAUAACUACUAAUCUUUAAUAUUUGGAGGCAUAUUUGUAUAUCGUCAUUAGUUCUUAUUUGAAGUAGCUUCCUUU